GACAUGACAGUCGAGCGGGGGAGGUAGCUUGCUACCGGACCUAGCGGCGGACGGGUGAGUAAUGCUUAGGAAUCUGCCUAUUAGUGGGGGACAACAUCUCGAAAGGGAUGCUAAUACCGCAUACGUCCUACGGGAGAAAGCAGGGGAUCUUCGGACCUUGCGCUAAUAGAUGAGCCUAAGUCGGAUUAGCUAGUUGGUGGGGUAAAGGCCUACCAAGGCGACGAUCUGUAGCGGGUCUGAGAGGAUGAUCCGCCACACUGGGACUGAGACACGGCCCAGACUCCUACGGGAGGCAGCAGUGGGGAAUAUUGGACAAUGGGGGGAACCCUGAUCCAGCCAUGCCGCGUGUGUGAAGAAGGCCUUAUGGUUGUAAAGCACUUUAAGCGAGGAGGAGGCUACUCUAGUUAAUACCUAGAGAUAGUGGACGUUACUCGCAGAAUAAGCACCGGCUAACUCUGUGCCAGCAGCCGCGGUAAUACAGAGGGUGCGAGCGUUAAUCGGAUUUACUGGGCGUAAAGCGUGCGUAGGCGGCUUAUUAAGUCGGAUGUGAAAUCCCCGAGCUUAACUUGGGAAUUGCAUUCGAUACUGGUGAGCUAGAGUAUGGGAGAGGAUGGUAGAAUUCCAGGUGUAGCGGUGAAAUGCGUAGAGAUCUGGAGGAAUACCGAUGGCGAAGGCAGCCAUCUGGCCUAAUACUGACGCUGAGGUACGAAAGCAUGGGGAGCAAACAGGAUUAGAUACCCUGGUAGUCCAUGCCGUAAACAAUGUCUACUAUCCAUUGGGGCCUUUGAGGCUUUAGUGCCGCAGCUAACGCGAUAAGUAGACCGCCUGGGGAGGACGGUCCCGAGACUAAAACUCAGAUGAAUUGACGGGGGGCCGCGCCCCCGUGGGAGCAUGUGGUUUGAUUCUAUGCUACGCGAAGAGCUUACCUGUUCUUGAGAUCCUGGAAGACUUCCAGAAAUGGAGUGGUGG
rnacentral:rRNA from 1 species